UAAUAAUAAUUAUAUAAUUUAUAUUUAACCCCUUUAGUUAGCUUAUGUUUCUAAGCAUGGCUAAGCAAACAUACAUAUAGCAUUUAGCUGAACCAAUCCAAUAUAUAAGGUUCAUGCUAAUCAAAUUAUAACCCAUAGGAAAAUAAAGUCAUCUUCGGCCAUUAUUUAAUUGGGAAAGGUUCACCACCCGAUGACAUUCGAAAAUAAUGCAUAGUUGAAAUAAAAUAAUAGCUUUAAAUGGGUUCAACAUGCUCAAAGGGUUGUUUGGGAUCUGUGUGACUUGCCUUGGGCUUCCGCAAACGCUUCGGAACCAUUCUCAACGGAAACGCUCUCCUCCGUAACGUCGGAAACUAAAGCAAUUAAACAAAAAUCAACAAAACAGUACAAAAACAAGCAUAAACAGUACAUGUGGAUAUUUUUAACAUGUAGAUCUUGAUUUUAGAAAAAUUUAGCAACUUGAACCACCUGAAACGGAUCUACGGUUAUUUAGUUAUGAUUUUCCGAAGAUUUAAUCUAUUAGAAAAAAGGGAAAAAGAAAGGAUGAUGAUGUCAUGCUGACAUCAUCCAAGGCAGCCACAGGUCGGCCGACGACCUCGCCGGCGCUACGGACCUUGGCCGGGCGAUUGGAGGGCACCUACGCGUAGAGGACGACGAGGCGAACCCAACGGUACUCACCCUCGAGCCCAACGACGAACGACGACGGCCGACGACGAGGAGGCGGCGGCGGCGGCUCGGGUUGCGUGGUGGCGGCGGGCUACGGCGGCCGGCGGCAAAGGAGAGGUGGCGGCCGAGCUUCCUCGCUCCCGUGUGCACCUAACGGAGGCAACGAGAGGCGGCAACGACGGCGAACGCGACGGCGCGGCGUGGCCGAAGGAUGGCCGGCGGCGGCGGCGGGUUGAACAACGGCGGCGCGGUGGCUAGGAGGCACGGGAGAGGACGGGAGUUGGGGCAAACGAAAGAGGACGACUAGGGGGUCCUAUUUAUAGCCUUGGAUUGAAGAGAUCGGACUCCUCCCGCAAGAAAUCGCUUCGGGAAAUCAAAAACUCAGUUUUGGAGAUAAACUCGAAAACGAGUUUGAUUCGGAUAAAAUACUCAACGAUUUGCUCCGAUUCUUGAGGGGAAAGAUAGAGGAAAACGAGAGGAUCAAAACCCCUCAAAAAUCCGGAAGAAACGGGGCCGGAUUGGGUGGGAUUUGGGGCGGCAAGGCGGCGCGGCGCGCCCGGCUCGGGCUCGGCUAGGCCGGCCGGAGGUAGGAGAAGGGCCCGACAUGUGGGCCCCACAUGUCGGUCACCGGUGAGGGGGGGCGGCGGCUGGGUGGGUUGGGCCGGCGUGGGCCGGCUUUGGCGCGCGCGGGAGAGAGAAUGUUGGGCCGGAAACGGCCCAACGGCCUAGGAGAGGACUUUUAAGAUUUUUUUCCAAUUAAAACAAUUCGUGAAAUGAUGUUUCAUUUAUUAAAAAUACUUCCCUUGCUCAAAUAAUUCCCAGAAAAAUCUAGAAAAUAGAGGAGCAAGUAUAGUAUUUAAUAAAAUUUUAUCUAGCUCAUUUUUAUGUUGAAAAUUUUCCUAGAUAAUUAGGGUUUAGCUUGUAGGCUUUUAAUUUAAAUUUCUAAAAAUGAUUUAAACAAUGCAUUUUUAAUUUAGGCAAUUUUUAGGGCGUGACAUCUGUCUCUCGUUUCCUUUGAGGUUUAAAAUAUCGGACUAUCCGUCUUGGGCUGAAAGAUUCCCCUCCAAUGCUCACAUUUUGGGGAUCUAUAUAAACCCCCCACCAACCCUUUUCUAGGGUUGCCCAAAUUCAUUUCAUUCAAAUCUUGUUUUGGGUUGAGCUUAGUGCUUAGUGCUUUGGAUCUUUGAGCUCUCUCCAUCUCUAUCUCAAAUCCCCCAUAUUGUUUGUGACUUGGAUCUUUGUGUGUGGAUUUGGAGUUUGGGAGCCUAGUGUGUGUUUUUCUUGAUCUUGAGCACUAGGAUUUGUCCAAGAGUUGUGUGGUGUUUAUUACUCUUGGAGGUUGAGAACUUGUCGUUCUUAGGACACCGACCUACUUGUGGUUGGUCGAGAGAAGUUUGUGAAGGCCGGAUCUUGCCUUCACAAGAAAAGAGAUACCCUUAGUGGAAGGAAGAGUGCAUUUGUGCAACCUCACGAGAAUAGGAUUGAAAAAGACCCGGCUCUUUGCGAGCUCCUCAACGAAGGCUAGAAUCCCCUCAAGGAUUUGAACUCCGGGAAAUACAUCGUUGUGUAAACCUCGGUGAUAUCCUCACUCUCUUUACCUUCUUGUUGCAUUGCUUUGUGCCAUGCUAAUCUUGUUGUUGGUUGAGCUCACCUCCUUGCUUGUGGAUUGGAUCUAGAGUUUUUAGGUUGUUGCUUGUUUGAUUGUUGCUGUGCAGGUCAGAUAAUCCGAUCUCAGUUCAGACAAUCCGAUCCAUAGGACUAUCUGACCAGUAUCAGACAAUCCGACCCUGUUUAGUUUUUAGCUUCCGCAUUCAUUUUUAAACCGCCUAUUCACCCCCUCCAGGCGACAUCAAGUCCUUUCAACCUUACUUUUCAAAAUCAAAGUCGCCGUUUGACCUUAUUUUUACUACACCGUUAGGAUUUCAUUUCAUCUUGUUCAAAAUGACCAAAAUGCCCUUAGUACACAUUUAUCUUGCCAAAACAGGGUCUGACCCUUCUUAUCUUCGCGGCGGGGCUGAUACCUUGUCGAUGCCGGCACGGAGUGUCACGCCGCAGCACUUGGACCUUCAGAGGACAGAAGACGAUGUGGGGGCUCAUGGGCAGGAAGCAACGGCACACAGAGGGUCCGUGUGCGCGGCCCGUGGCUGGGUCAUGUUGCCGCGCAAGGACCUGCGCUAGACGGAGGCCGGGGUGGGGCUCGUGGCGGUCAGCGUGGGAAUGGAGUGGUGGCGCGCUGAGGGUCGCAUGCGUGGCCCAUUGGUUGGUUGCGCCGCCGCGCACGGAUCUACGCCGGACAGAGGCCAGGGCAUGGGCUCGCGGCGGUUUAGAAGAUUUUGCACAAAUGACAUGACCAAAUGUUUUUCACAUUAUUUGUAGAUUAGAAGAUUUUGGAAUGUAUGAGUUCACCCUGCCUUAAUUUAUUUUACAUUAGUUUUCAAGAUUAGUUUUGCAGAUCAUUGUGGUUAAACAUGAACUAAAUGCAAUUUCAGACAUUAAGUUCUGUAUUAUUUUGCAGUUUUAAAUUUUUUUGUAUUCUUACAUCUUUUGAAUCAUAUAUUGCUUACUAAAUUAAGUAAUUUGUUUUCAAAUUCAUACAUGGUGUAUCCAUUUGGCAUAUUAAUCUCAAGGAUGGUGCUAACUUUGUUUUUGAUAUGUUGUAUGGUACUGUAAUAGUUUGCCUCAUUUCCUGAUCUAAGACUAUUUGAUCUAAUCAAAGUUUGAAAUAAUGAGGUUUAAUUUUGGUUUUCAGAUAAUAUAUGAUUUGAUCUAUUGUAUGGUAGUAUAAUAGUCUGUUGCUUUCAACAUCUAAGUUUACUUGAUCUAAUUUAAUCUAGAAUAAUCAAGUUUAAUCUUUGUUUUCAGAUAAUUAAAGAAGUGGUGAUUUGAUGGGAAGAAGUGUGGUGAUAUUUUUGUGGUUUGAUCUAGCGUGGAGUUAGAGUUGGGAAAGGAGUGGUCCUCACAUAUGUGUUGGAAUCAUGUGACUGCUGAUCAACUUGCAUAUCAAGUUUUCCAAUUUUGUUGGUGUGCUUUAUAUUAAAUUUGAUAUUUGGGCUUUAAUAGAUCUGAAAUUUGGCGUUACAAGUUGUGUUUUGUCACGCCCGGAAAUUCACUAGUAAUUUCCGAACUUAUUUGUGCAUAAAAUCCUCGUCCAGGAAUCAGCCGAGGUACACAAACUGACAAUUUUAAUAUACAAACCCAUCAUAAUAAUAACGUUACAUACUUACAAAAGAAAAGAAAACAGCAGCGGAAUUAACGGUCUAGCGAUGGCUUCAGCUCCACUCCCACAGGCAGCUCAACUGGGGUAUAAGCUAAACGUCUUCUCCUUCUGGAUCCUUUAUCUUCAACUGAGGUUUGAUGAUUAUUGCAAGAAUGAGCAUAUGACAUACUCAACAAGCCACACAGCAAAUAUGCAAGUGCACAAGGAUUCCAAAGGAUGGCAUAAUAUAGGCUCAUUUGCAAAAGCAGCAUUUAGCAAAGAUUUAAGAUAAGUAAAACAGUAGAGUAGUUAAUCAUCAAUUUUGAUCAACACUGAACAGCACACCCAUGCUGCUCAGGCCCAACCAAACCUGAACAACCAACCCCGGUCGUACUGAUCAAACCUCCAAACCAGGAAUUAUCCAUUCCAAACCAGGAGUCAAAUUAAUUAUCACAUUAUUAACAUUGAUGAGUAGUGUGAGACUAAUCACGAAAAACAUUGCUCAACUCGCCCAUAACCGCGGGCACAGCUAUUCGAAUAGUUUUACUCUGGCCAGAGGUGUACCACUGUACCCACAAGACACGAUUCCACACAUGUUGCCAUGCCCCGAAAUACCACCACGGCAUUGCAAAGGGGGAAAUCGUGACAAUACCCUUUGCACAACACAACUCAAAACAGUGCACCGUUCCUGGAUCAUAAUCACCCCCUUAUAAACAAGGCAUGGACUCCCCAGCGACCCCCACGGACUUCUCGCCGCUUCUCAGUCUGGCACACUAUAAUGAACCAUGCUAUACAAAAGGUAAAGCCGUUGCCCAUGCUGGCUUGUGGUUGGCACGGUAAAUGUUUCACAACAGUAGCUCGCGAACCGGUCCUUAAUUGUCAUGAGCACAACCAUCAAAACCAUAUGCUCACAACCCACCUUAACCAGAUUUUAAUUAUCAAUUAAUUAACAUCACACGAUUAAUCAUCGUGAGCUACCAUUAAAUAUAACCAUAAUUAAUAAGAAUAAUAUAAUAUAAUUUAUAUUUAAUCCCCUUUAAUUAGCUAAUGUUUCUAAGCAUGGCUAAGCAAACAUACAUAUAACAUUUAGCUGAACCAAUCCAAUAUGUAAGGUUCCUGCUAAUCAAAUUAUAACCCAUAGGAAAAUAAGAUCAUCUUCGGCCAUUAAUUAAUUGGGAAAGGUUCACCACCCGAUGACAUUCAAAAACAAUGCAUAGUUGAAAUAAAAUAAUAGCUUUAAACGGGUUCAACAUGCUCAAAGGGUUGUUUGGGAUCUGUGUGACUUGCCUUGAGCUUCCGCAAACACUUCCGAACCUUGCUCAACGAAAACGCUCUGUUUCAGAACGUCGGAAACUAAAGCAAAAGAAUAAAAAAUCAACAAAACAGUAAAAAACAAGCAUAAACAGUACAUGUGAAUAUUUUUAACAUGUAGAUCUUGAUUUUAGAAAAAUUUAGCAACUUGAACCACUCGAAUCGGAGUUACGGUUAAUUAGUUAUGAUUUUCUGAAGUUUUAAUCUAUUAGAAAAACGGGAAAAAGAAAAACCGAUGAUGUCAUGAUGACAUCAUCAAUGGCCGGCCCGGGUUGGCGACCUCGCCGGAGCUAGGGUGGUCGGCCGGGAUUUUGGAGGACAUGUACACGUAGAGGACGACGAGACGAACCCAACGGUACUCACCCUCGAGUCAAACGACAAACGACGACGGCCGGCGACGAAGAGGCGGCGGCGGCGGCUCGGCUUGCACGGGGACGGCGGGCUACGACGGCCGGCGGCUUCGGGGAAGGGGCGGCCGAGCUUCUCGUCGCUCCAACACACCUAAUGGCGGUGGCGGCAGGCGGCGGCGACGGCGGAGGCGGCUGCGCGGCGGCGCCGGAGAUGGCCGGCGGCGGCGGCGAGGCUAAACAACGGCGGCGCGGCGGCUAGGAGGCACGGGAUAGGACGGGAGUUGGGGCAAACGAAAGAGGAGGACUAGGGGGUCCUAUUUAUAGCCUUGGAUUGAAGAGAUCGGACUCCUCCCGCAAGAAAUCGAUCCGGGAAAAACAAAACUCGGUUUUGGAGAUAAACUCGAAAACGAGUUCGAUUCGGGCAAAAUACUCAACCUCUUGCUCCGAUUCUUGAGGGGAAAGAUAGAGGAAGAUGAGUGGAAUAUUUCCCCUCAACUAAUUUUGCAAAUGGAGCUCCGGAUGAGGCGGAUUUAACGGAGGAAGCGGCGGCUGCACAGGGCACAGCACGGGCGGCUCGGCUCUGUCCAAGCUUGAAGAUGAACAGUGCCAGGGAGGCAAAUUAGACUUUCUGCUGGGCUUCUACUUCCAAGGACUGAUUAAAGGAGGGACGCACAGCAGACUUCGGGAAAGAGAGGAGAAGGGCUGCAGGCUGAGAGGAGACUGGGCCGAGAGUGAGAGGACUUUUCCUAAUUCGGCCCGAAAAGGAAAAGGUGAAUUUUAAUUACUUUUCCAAUUAAAUUAAUCACUGAAAUGAUCUUUGAAUUGUUAAAAAUACUUCCAAUGCUCAAAUAAUUUCAAGAAAAAUCCUGAAAAUACUUGGACACUCAAAGUACUUAACAAAAUUAUAAUCAGACCAUUUAAUGAUUAAUUUAAUAUUUAAAUAAUUGCUGAACUGCUCUUUGUAUGAUUAAAAUUAAUAAUUGAGCUCCGAAAAAUCCGAGAAAAUUCCAGAGAGUAUAAUUAACCAUGGAGAAUUUAAUAAAAAUUAAAUCCAUCCAUGCUUUAUAUUUAGGAAAUUUUAUUUCCCACAUUUAACUUCACUUGUAAAUUAAUAAACAUUUAAUAUAAAUUCUAAUAAUAAUUUAUUAAAUAAUUUAUAAAUCCUGAAACGAAAAUCAGGGUGUGACAUGUUUUCGGCCUGUCAUUGCUUCGCAGGGCAUAUUUGGGCCUUUGAUUUGUUAGAAAUAACAUUUGGAUUUUUAAAAUGGAAUAAGUUCACUUUAGGUCCCUCUAUUUUUCAGUCAAUCUGAUUUUCGUCCCUUGACCGUAAAACUGGGUAUGGCCUAUCCCCCAACUUACAAAAACUGAGCAAAUGAGGCCCCUCGGUAGUAUGGAGGGCAGUUUUGGCCGACAUGGCGCUUACGUGGCUCCUUUGACUAGGUCUUCAUCCCACGUGGCGCUUAUGUAGCAAUUUUGUCUCGAAAAAAUAAUAAAAAUCGUGGGAUCCAUAUGUCAGCCUCCCUAUUCUCUCUAUCCCCCCUCUUUCUCCCCUACACUACAAGGAGUAAACGAGCGGCGGCGGGCGAUGGACGGAGCGGCGGCGGGCGGUGGGCGGAACGGUGGCGGGCGGCGGGCGGAGUAGUGGCAGGCGAGUUCAUGGAAGCUGUUCGCCGCUUAGGCCACUGCCGAGGUCGCCGCCCACCUCGUUCGCCCGUUCUCGACAUCAAUGCCACCAUCUCCGCCCCUCCACUGCCGCCGACGACCCUCCCCCAACCGUCAACCCCUCCCCGUCCGCCAGGGCUCGCCCGCAGGCACCACAAGCGUCGACCCAGUUGCCCUCACCGCCCCUAAGCUGAACUGGAGGGGGGGUCGACAUUGAGGCAGCGGAAGAAGGGCAGAGCAAGCGUCCGCGGUAGUGGUCAACGAGGACGGGCGGGCAGGAUGGCGAGCUCGAGCUCGCUGGCUCCCCUCCCCUCUUCCUCUACACUCUCGGCUCUUCCUCUUCUUCAUCUCAGCUCUCCCUCGUCCUCAUAGCGGAGCGGCGGCAGCAGGCCGCGGGUAGAGCGGAGGGGCCGGCGGAGUAGAGGAGACCUCACUUGGUUUAAUUAUACAUCGAUGGAAGGAUUAUAUAUCGUUAAUAUCUACAGCUGAUCGAGUAGAUUUAGUCUUAUCUUAGUUACCUAUAAUUGCCGAUCGAUCCCAAUAUGACAUCGGCUCGAAGAUAAAUGAUACGUCAUCGGCAACUAGCCGAUCGGCUACCGUUUAUGGAUUUAACCGCGGUUUUCUUGUCUUUCUUUCUUGUUGAUUGCAGGAUCAAAUCAACUGGCACGCUCACGAACCUAAAAGCAAGAUUUUGGACCUGCACUGAAGUUAAGCAGAUCUUCCAGGCCUGUGUGUAUUUUUCGCAUCAACACGCUUUUGGCACACCCAGUGGGACUGAGUUGCGACAACUUUUUCUCAUGGCAGAGAAACAAUCACCGGCAUCGACAGGCAAGCCUCCAAAUCCUCCGGGGGCCAAAUCUCAAAACCCUCCGGGGACCAAGCAUCCAAAACCUCCGGGAACCAAUCAAUUAUCAUCUGAAGUCGAUACUGAAAACAUUGUCCCAGUUACUAUAGAAAAAAUAUCACCAGAACAGAAGAAGGAGUUUGAACUAAUGAUAAAGAGUGCUCAGGAGCAGUUCAUGAACUCAAUUGGAGAAACCCGCCAGGGAAAAGUUAUUCAAAAAUACAAGGUGAAGGUGGUUGCUGCCGAUGAACCUGGAAUGAGCUCAUCCCAAGGUGGUAAAGCUAAAGGUGUUGCAGAUGGUUCGGGUGAUAAAGGUCAGGGGCUUCAAGAUGGUGUGGUCGAGGAUGUUGAUGAAGAUGAUACUGAGGAGCAAGAAUCUCCAGGAUGCAACAAUUUCCAAGACUAGGUUGAUUAUGCUGUUCAACAUGCCUUGAUCAAUCAAUCGGGGGUGCUUGUCAAUACCUUAACAAAUAUGAUUAAGUCUAUGGUUGAUGGCACAAUAGCUGAACAUCAAAACACGGGGCCAGUCUUUCUACCAGGUGGCGUCUUCCCACAGUAUAGGAAUUUGGUGACAAACAACCAGCAACAUACUACCAAUGCACCACUAGUCCAGCCAACGGCAGCGGUUUCAGCUCUAGCACUAGCUGCACCAUCGCGGCGCAAAGGCGAGUGGUUAAUCCCCGUGUCUUGACUAGGGAGCAACCACAACAUGUUGGACAGAACAUCAAUCGGCUGACUCAGGAGCAGGUCGCUGCAAUGUUUGCGCCGACUCAGCCGACUGUCGAACCAGUACAGUCGACGCCGAUCAAGCAGCAGAUUAUUCAGCCGAUUACGCAACAGACGGUGCAACAGAUACCAACAGGAUAGAGAACACCUAUUGCUCAGCAAAAUCCACUUGUUGGAACCCCGUUUGUACCUGAACAGCAGAUGUACAAUGUGCAACAGACCCCUCAGAACUACCUUGGUGGUAAUUUCACUCUUCAGUAUACACCUCGGUCACCUCACAUCCAAUAUCAAACAGGGGGAUCUCCUCAACCCCAGUUUGUUCCUUAGCUUAACCAAUUUGAUCCGAUACAGCAGCAGAUGCAAGGAGUGCCCUAGCAGAAGCCCUGGGCCGACAUGAUUGCAGAUGUGAUGAGGGAGCAGUUUGGGCUUAAGCCAAAGGACACUGGAAAUUUGUAUCGGCACCCUUAUCCUUAGUGGUUUGAGAGAGUUCCGCUUCCCAACCGAUACAAGGUUCCAAAUUUUUCAAAAUUUUCAAGGCAAGACAAUGUUUCGACAUAUGAGCAUGUCAGCCGAUUCUUGGCUCAGUGUAGAGAAGCAUCGGCUGUCGUUGCGUUCAGAGUUCUGUUGGUUCCUUUGUCUUUGUCUGGGUUAGCAUUCAGAUGGUUUUCUUCAUUGCCUUAUAAUUCUGUUCAUGGUUGGGCUGAUUUGGAAAAGCAGUUCCAUAGCUACUUCUACAGUGGAACCCAUGAGAUGAAACUUUCUGAUUUGACAGCAGUUAGACAGAGGCAUGAUGAAACCGUGCAAGACUACAUCCAGAGAUUCAGAGAUAUGAGGAACAAGUGUGACAUUUUGGCCUUGAUAGAUUCCCAGUUAGCCGAUCUCGCAUUCCAGGGUUUGAUAGCUCCGAUCAAGGAGAAAUUUUUGUCGCAGGAGUUUGAAAGCUGGUCUCAUCUUGCAUAGAAGGUGACCCUGCAUGAGCAAAGGUUUGCGGAGGCUAAGAAGAAUUUCAAGAAGAUCAAUCACGUGUAUCCUUAUAUGUAUGACACUGAUGAGGAAGAUGACUCCGAAGUGGCAGCAGCUGAAUGGUGAGAAGCAAAAAGGUUGUACCGUGUCAAUGGGUGAAGAGUUCUGGAAAAGAAGAGAGGUAUGAUUUUGAUAUCACUAAGGCUGAUAAUAUUUUUGACUUGCUACUUCAGGAGAAACAGAUACAACUUCCUGCUAGUCAUAUAAUACCAUCGGCUGAGGAGUUAGGGAAGAGAAAAUAUUGUAAGUGGCAUAACACUGGUUCCCAUGCUACCAAUGAUUGCAAAGUCUUUAGGCAGCAGAUCCAAGCAGCUAUUGAGGGAGGGAAAAAUCAAAUUUGAUGAAUCAAAGAAGCCGAUGAAGGUAGAUGGACAUAAUUUCCCCAUCAAUAUGGUGCAUACAGCUGGAAGAGCAGCCGAUGGAGGGAAAAAUCGGAGUUCUCAGUUGAAUUCAGCCAGGAUUAUUAUCAGAGAAGGCAUGAUAAGCAACAGGAGAAGUACUAUGAGGAAGAUGAUGGUGGUUUUGAUCCUCAUUGGGAUUGUGAGUUCUUCAGGUUCUGUUGGAAUGAGGGAAUGAUGCUACCGUCAAUUGAGGAUUGCCCUGGAUGUAGUGACAAUGUAGGGAGUUCAAGCCGAUCUUACAAUGAGGAAAUCGGCUAAGUCAGAAGAGGUUGUAUGUUCAUCAGAGGUUGGGCCCGGUCAAUCAAGAUCGUCGUUAAGAUGAGGAGGAGGACAGGAACACACAAUGGUGUCCUUCUGGUAUUUUCACAAAGAAUCAGAAGAGAAGGGUUCAGCGGAUGAGGAACAGGGAGCGUUUUCAGGAGGUGCAGUAGGAGAUCAACCAUUGGCUGAAGAAGACUAAGCAAGAAUGGCGCAUUAAGAGCAAAGUAGCGACGGCAGAUGAGGUUGAAGCUGAUAAGGCAAAGGGGCUAGCUAAAGGAAAAAGUGUUACAUCUACGUUGGUGAAUAUGGUGUUUUUAUUGCCUGCAGAAUAUGAAGUCAAGGAAGCCGAUGUCAAUGAUGUUGAAGAAGCCUCUGCUAGAUUGAUUUUGUCGCCAGAACAAGCAAUUUUUGAGAAACUAGAGGGGACAGAAAAUCGGCAUCUCAAGCCAUUGUAUGUUGCUAGUGCCGAUUUAGCUCUUUGGGAGAUGGAUGGGAUAGAUUGCAUGUCUGGAAAAGCUUGGGAUGGAGAUUUUCUAAAAGUGUCCGAUUGUGAUAUACAUCCAAUUGAAGACGGAGACCCCAAAUUAUUAUUUUGAGGGCGUCGUGGAGGGUUCAAAUUUCUACACCAAGGACACGGUGGAUGAUCUUGAUGGCAAAUUAUGAUAGGGUUUUAUGUCAGCUGAUGAUUUGGAGGAGAUUGACAUAGGCCCAGGAGAUAGGCCAAGGCCGACGUUUAUCAGCAAGAAUUUAUCGGCAAAGUUUAGAACCAAGCGAUAGAGCUUUUAAAAGAGUAUAGAGAUUGCUUUGCUUGGGAAUAUUACGAGAUGCCAGGACUUAGCCGAUCGAUUGUUGAACAUCGGCUCCCUAUCAAGCCAGGAUAUAAGCCAUACUAGCAACCUCCAAGGAGAUGUAAAGCCGAUAUGUAUGACGCUAUCAAGGCUGAAGUUACUUGCUUAUAUGAUGCUGGUUUUAUUAGACCUUGCCGAUAUGCUGAGUGGGUUUCUAACAUAGUCCCGGUCAUCAAGAAGAAUGGUAAGCUUAGGGUGUGCAUCGAUUUUCGGGAUUUGAACAAGGCUACCCCUAAGGAUGAGUACCCAAUGCCGAUUGCCGAUCAAUUGGUUGAUGCUGCUUCAGGGCACAAGAUUAUCAGUUUUAUAGAUGGCAAUGCGGGUUACAAUCAAACUUUUAUGGCAGAAGAAGACAUUCACAAGACCGCUUUCAGGUGUCCUGGUGCGAUCGGUUUAUAUGAGUGGGUUGUGAUGACUCCCGGCUUGAAGAGUGCUGGGUCUACAUAUCAGAGGGCCAUGAAUUAUAUAUUCAUCGAUCUGAUCGGCUUGUUGGUUCAUCUACAUUGAUGAUGUGGUUGUUAAAUAAAUCAAAGGGGUGGAGGACCACAUAGCCGAUUUGAAAAGGGUUUUCGAGAGGACAAGGAAAUAUGGUUUGAAGAUGAAUCCUAUGAAGUGUGCUUUCGGUGUAUUGGCUGGACAGUUUUUGGGCUUUCUUGUUCAUGAGAGGGGGAUUGAAGUAACUCAGAGGAGUGUCAAUGCGAUCAAGAAAAUUCUACCUCCAGAAGACAAGAAACAAUUGCAGAAGUUGAUCGGCAAGGUGAAUUUUAUUAGAAGGUUUAUUUCUAACUUAUCUGGGAGAUUGGAACCUUUUACACCUUUGUUAAGAUUGAAAGCCGAUCAAGAAUUCACCUGGGGGACAGAGCAACAGAAGGCUUUGGACAAUAUUAAGGAAUAUCUUAGCUCUCCUCCGGUGUUGAUUCCUCCACAGAAGGGAGUACCUUUCAAACUAUAUUUGUUGGCUGGCGAGAAGUCAAUCGGCUCGGUUUUAAUCCAAGAACUCGAAGCCAAGGAAAGAGUUAUUUUCUAUUUGAGUCGCAGGCUCUUGGACGCAGAGACAAGGUAUUCUCCGGUGGAGAAGUUAUGUUUGUGUUUAUAUUUCUCUUACACAAAGUUGAGGCAUUAUUUGUUAUCCAAUGAAUGCACUGUGGUGUGCAAAGCCGAUGUGAUCAAAUAUAUGCUAUCGGCUCCGGUUUUAAAGGGGAGAAUCAGAAAGUGGAUAUAUGCAUUGACAGAACUUGAUCUUCAGUAUGAAUCACCUAAGGCAGUAAAGGGGCAGGCUAUAGCCGAUUUUAUUGUAGAGCAUCGUGAUGAUUUAGUCGGCUCAGUCGAUAUUGUGCCUUGGACUUUAUUUUUCGACGGAUCGGUGUGCACUCAUGGAUGUGGUAUCGGCUUGGUUAUAAUUUCUCCUCGGGGGGCAAACUUUGAGUUUGCCUAUACUAUUAAACCUUAUGCAAUGUCACGACCGGAAAUAACCCAACGGGCAUUCCUUACGUGCGUGCAUUAAUCCUUGUCUCAGGAGGCAAGGUACACCAAAAGUUGAUACAAUUCAGAGUUUAACAAGCGGAAGCGUAAAUAGUUAAUUUAUUACAUGGGCAGCGAAGGCCCAGCACACACAAAGACAAACGAGAAACAGCGGAAGACUAGGGCGACGACCACAGGCACUUGACGGCAGGCACGAGCUAGACACCAAAGCCUUCAUCCUCCAGGAACUCCUCUUCUGGGUUUGGGAAAAAUUGAGCAAGACUGAGUACAACCACCGUACUCAACAAGACACACCCACAAGUGCAGAAUAAAUGCAAGGGAGUACAAAGGAGUUAUACUAUAAAGGGUUAGGGUUGCAGUAAACAACAUUUAAAGACAUUAGUUGCUCAGGGCUAUUUUGCAAACACGAUUCUAGUACUAUACAAUAUUAUUUAUCAAGGCCGUGAACCCACACGAACCUGCCUUAACCCAAGGCCUACGAUGAUUCAGACCGAACUGGCAACCCGACCCUGGGUCCCAGCUCGUCCCAAGCCAACCCAGGCCAACCAUUCCACAUUUUAGUUGUUAAGCAGGUUUUAAGAAUUAAAACACUAACUUGGGUACAUUGCUCGGCUUGCCCAUAACCGAGGGCGCGGCUAUUCGAAUAGAUUAUACUCUGAUCAGAGGUGUACAUCUUUACCCACAAGACACAUCUUUCUCACGUGUAACCACGUGCCACAUACCACCACGGUAUACAGACGAAAGACGUGACAUAGUUUCCAACCCAUCCUAGCCAUAGACAAGAGUACCGACCCAAUCCCACCUACGGCCGGAACUCCCGGGACAGGCAAGCAGGACUGAGCCCCUAGCAGCAGGACACCGGCCCUAUGCCAUGACAUCUCGACUACCGGGCCGCAGCUCGUGUAGCCUUCAUUUGUCCUAGAGAUGUCCAUCGACCCCCGACUUCUUCCAUCUCCAUCCGUGUACUUUUGUUUAUAACUAGACUGAGCCACAAACUAAGCCUUACCCACUAGACAUGUGGAAGUACGGUAGUGCUUUGCAACAGAGGCCCGAAGACCGGUCCUUAUAUGGCCGAGGUGCUACUAUCAAAACCAUGCACCCCGAGCCCAGCCUAAAACCAUUUUUGGGGAUUUUGAAUAGAACGAGCGGUGUGAAGCCAAUUCCACAAUAAACCAACAAUUCCAAAGUGUCCAGGUGAUAUGAAUAUUCCCAAAGUCUAGAGUUGUAAAACCGCCUAAUGUUACCUAAUUAAAAGCGAAGCAUCUACCUAAAAUCAUACUAGUGAUACCAUGAGUAGAGUGUCCACUAGUUGGGGUUUUGUUUAUUCUAGGGUGAACAAGGAAAUAAUAACAAUAACAACAAUAAUAAGGUCAUAACAAAGGUAAAUAGGCAUGGCUAAAUAAAACAGUGAUAACGCGGGAAUUUAAAUAAAGCGAUAAUGCAAUAAGUUAAAUCAACAUAAUUUUACAAACUGGGAUUCAAUAUGUUCAAAGAUGAUGUGACUUGCCUUGCUCGCUUUCCCAAACGUCGGCUUCAACUUCCACGAAGAGCGGAUCUUCCGAAGCUGCAGCGUCUACACGACCAACGGAAAAGAAACGGCUUUUACUCUACUAAACUCCAUAUAACAAGCAGAAACAAAGCACAAAAAUGGGUUCUUGGCUUCUUAAGGAAAAAUUAGAGACUUGAACGGUCCAAUUCCGAGUUCAAAUGGCCAAGUUAUGGCCAUUUGAAGUUUAUAUGCUCUUUAAAUGGAUAUUUACGAAUUUCUUCAUUUAAAUUUUAAUUUAAAAACAUAUUUAUUGCGUCAGCCGGGAGAGAGGAGCGCGCGGACCGGGUCCACAGGAGUGUGGCCCACGCGGCAGCCUCUCGGUCCACGGUGGACCGGGUGCACGCGGCUUACGCCGGCCGGCGCCGUGGGUCCCACGCGUCAGCCGCACCCGAGGGCGCGGGCGGCUGACGGCCGGGCCCCACAUGGCAGCCGCGGGGCGCGCCCGAAGGCGGCCUCGCCGGCACAGCCGACGGGAGGCGACGCGCCCGCGCCCCUAUGGUCGCCGGCGGCGGCCAUAGGCACGGCGGAGCGGCGGCCGAGAGAGGGGAGGGAAGGGGGAAACGAAAUGGGCGGUCCACGGCUCACCCCGGGUUGACGACGACGACGGGAACGGCGACCGGAGCGGAAGAAGGCGGCGGCGCGGCACGGGUCGUCGGGGACGGCGGCGUUCCGGCGGUCGGCGGGCGAAACGGAGGGGUGGACGAGGUCGGCGAGGACGCGGCGGAGCCGAAGGAGGCGACGCCGAGGCGGGAGAAGGUCCGAGGCGACGACGGCGGCGGACCGGAGCUCGGCGGUGACGGCGGAAACAGAGAGCGACGGCGCGAGCUCGAUUCCGGCGGAGAGAGAGAGCGGCGAGUGGCGGAAACGGUGGAGGGAGGCACGGGGAGCGUUUAUAUAGUGUUGGGAGUGAGAGAGGGCGGCCGGGGGAGAAGGAAACCGGCGCGGCGCUCUCGGGCUCCAUCAAUGGCGCCGGCGAGAUUUGCGGGGGCAAAUCUGCCCGUUUGAACGCGAGAGAGAGAGGGAAAAAUGGGGGGAAAGGGAGAGGGAAUCACGGGGAGUGAUUUUCCCCUCUUUAUUGCGCGCGGGGACAGCGGGAGGCGGCGGGAUUCGCGGCGGCGGCGGCGCUAGGGCACGGGCGAGGCGGCGGGAGCGGCGGGAGGUAGGGGAUGACGGGUGGGCCCCACCCGUCAGCGAGGGUGGCGGGCGGGCCCGCCCGUCAGCGGCACGCGCGCGGGGAGGAGGCCGAUUGGGCCGCGGGGGAGAGGAGAGAGAGGGAGGGAGGUGGGCCGAGCCGGCCCAAGAGGGGAAGGGGGGGGAAAAAGGACUUUUUACGGUUUUUCUUUUUAUAAAACCUUUUUAACUUUGUUUAUUUCUUAAUAAUUAUUAUUUGUGCUCUGAAAAUUCCACUAAAAUUUAUUUACGCAUUUUAGGCUUUUAGGAAAUAUACAAAAAUCCUCCAAGCCUUAUUUGACUUUUAACUUUGCACAUUUUAAUUGUUGGAGGCUUUCACAUGGAUUUUACUUAUUCUAUGCAUAAUUUUGAGGAUGUAUUUUAGAGUCGUUUUGGGACGCGACAAACCUACCCCCCUUAAACGGAAUCUCGACCCCGAGAUUCGGAAGAACUGGCGAAGAGAUCAGGAUGGGCUGCCUUCAGCUCGUCUUCAUGCUCCCAGGUAGCUUCUUCUUCGGCGUGGUUGCUCCACUGGACCUUGCAAAAACGGAUUACCCGGUUCCUGGUCCUGCGCUCCAUGGUGUCCAGGAUUUUCACUGGCCUCUCCACGUAGGUCAAGUCUUCGCGAACUUCAAUUUGCUCUGAGUCGGCCUGCUCGGAUGGCACUCGAAGGCAUUUCUUGAGUUGCGACACAUGGAACACAUCAUGCACGUUGCCCAAGGAGGCGGGCAGCUCCAAUUGGUAAGCGACUUCUCCGUGUCGGGCAACGAUACGGAAAGGACCCACAUACCGAGGUGCAAGCUUCCCUUUUGUCUGAAACCUGUGUACACCCCGCAAUGGCGUGACCCGAAGAUACACAAAAUCGUCCACUGCGAAUUCUAGGUUACGGCGACGGUUAUCUGCAUAACUUUUCUGCCGGGACUGUGCCACCUUUAGAUUAUCCCGAAUGGUUCUGACUUUAGCUUCAGCUUCUCUCAGGAUAUCAGUCCCGAACACUUGGCUUUCCCCAACUUGAUCCCACAGGAGCGGUGUCCGGCAUUUGCGCCCAUACAACGCUUCAUAAGGUGCCAUUUGUAUGCUGGCUUGAUAGCUGUUAUUGUAGGAGAACUCGGCAUAGGGGAGACUCUUAUCCCAGGUCUUCCCGAAAUCCAGGACACAUGCGCGAAGCAUAUCUUCUAGGAUCUGAUUUAGACGCUCGGUCUGCCCAUCUGUCUGCGGGUGGUAUGCGGUGCUGAAGUUUAAUCGGGUACCCAGCUCUUCUUGGAGCUUCUUCCAAAAGUGAGAGGUGAAUUGGCUUCCCCUAUCAGAUACGAUUUUCUUGGGAACGCCAUGGAGACUCACGAUCCUAGCGAAGUAGAGCUCGGCUAGUUUGUUCCCUCCAUAGGUGGUCUUCACAGGAAUGAAUCGAGCUACCUUGGUUAAUCGAUCCACCACUACCCAUAUAGAAUCAUAUCCACCUUGGGUCUUUGGAAGUCCGGUGAUGAAAUCCAUCCCAAUUUCAUCCCAUUUCCAUUCAGGUACUUGGAGAGGUUGGAGAAGUCCGGCCGGUCGUUGGUGCUCUGCCUUGACACGCUGGCACACAUCACAAAGGGCCACGAACUCUGCAAUUUCCCGCUUCAUACUAACCCACCAGUAUUUCUCCUUCAAGUCUAAGUACAUCUUUGUACUGCCAGGGUGGAUGGAAUAAGGACUUUCGUGGGCUUCCUGAAGUAUCAGCUGUUUAAGUUCUCUGUUAUCUGGAACGCAUACUCGAUUUCCGUUCCAUAGGGUUCCGUGUUCAUCCUCUGUGAAACCAGCGGCUUUACCCUGUUUCAUAUUCUUGAGGAGUCCAUGCAUGUCCGGAUCGUUCUUCUGAGCCUCGCGGAUUUGAUCGAGCAAGGUAGGCUUGGCUUCCAACGCAGCCAAGAAUCCGCGACCAACUAUGCUUAGGUUCAGGGCUUCCAUCUGUUGACUAAGUUUGGGUGGAAUGCCACGGACGUUAAGGGUGUUGCAAUGGCUUUUUCGACUUAGGGCGUCGGCGACCACGUUGGCCUUACCAGGAUGAUAGUGAAUUCCCACAUCAUAAUCCUUGAUGAGUUCUAACCAUCUCCUUUGCCGAAGAUUCAGGUCCGACUGAGUGAAGAUGUAUUUCAAACUCUUAUGAUCAGUAUAUAUUUCACAGCGAUUCCCAAUGAGAUAGUGCCGCCAGAUUUUUAGAGCAUGAACCACCGCAGCUAACUCCAAAUCAUGGGUAGGGUAGUUGCCUUCAUGAGGCCGUAGCUGGCGUGAGGCAUAGGCCACCACAUGACCAUCCUGCAUGAGCACGCACCCCAAUCCUUGGCGCGAAGCGUCACAAUACACCAUGAAAUCCUUGCGAGUAUCCGGCAAGAUUAACACUGGCGAGGCAACCAGCUUUUCUUUGAGAGUUUUGAACGCCUUCUCGCAUUGCGGGCUCCACACAAAUUUCUCUUCUUUCUUCAACAACUGUGUCAUGGGUUGAGCGAUUUUGGAGAAGUUCUCGAUGAACCUCCGGUAGUAUCCUGCCAAACCUAAGAAACUGCGGACUUGAGUGACUGUCUUGGGUUGCUUCCAAUCAGUGACGGCGGUCACUGUUUCGGGGUCCACAGCAACUCCUUUAGCAGAUAUCACGUGCCCUAAGAAUUUGACUUCGGACAACCAGAACUCACACUUGCUAAGUUUGGCAUACAAUUGAUGUUCCCGCAACUUUCCCAACACCAGACAGAGAUGGUGCUGAUGGUCUUCCUCUGAUUGUGAGUAUACCAGAAUGUCAUCAAUGAAAACCACAACAAACUUAUCCAAGUAUUCCAUGAACACUUUGUUCAUUAAGUUCAUGAAAAAGGCAGGUGCAUUGGUUAAACCGAACGACAUCACCGUGAAUUCAUACAGUCCAUAUCGCGUGGUGAAUGCGGUCUUCGGAAUAUCUUCAUCACGAAUACGUAAUUGGUGAUAUCCGGAACGAAGAUCGAUCUUGGAGAAUACAGUGGCACCUUUAAGCUGAUCGAACAGAUCAUCGAUCCGGGGAAGAGGGUACUUGUUUUUGAUGGUGACUUCAUUGAGAGCUCUGUAGUCAACGCACAUCCUCUUCGUCUUGUCUUUCUUCUCCACAAAAAUCACAGGAGCACCCCAGGGGGAAGUACUCGGACGUAUAUACCCCUUUUCUUUCAACUCUUCCAACUGUUUCUUAACUUCGGCCAGUUCAUUUGCUGCCAUACGAUAGGGUCGCUUGUACAGAGGAGUGGUUCCUGGAGCAAGAUCUAUCCGGAACUCAAUCUCUCGCUUGGGCGGCAUACCGGGUAGUUCGUCCGGAAACACGUCUCCGAACUCUCUGACGAUGGGGAUUUCUGAUAGUCCUAUCUGAUGAAGUUCGGAACUACUGACAGAGGUUGGGGUGCAAAGAAAACAACCGGUUGUUCCGGCCCUCAGUACAGAGUGACAGUGCGUCUCGCACAAUCCACUACUCCUUGGAAUUGAGCCAACCAAUUCAUCCCAAGGAUCACAUCCAUGUUCUUGGUGUCUAGCAGAAUCAGAUCCGAGGGAAAAGGAAUCCCCUGAAUUUCUAUGGGGACGGCAGGGCUAUAAUACUUUGCUGUCAUAACCCCUCCAGGGGUGGUGAUGAGCAGAGGGUUCCUAAGCCUUUCUACCCCCAACUGAUUUCUCCCCACGAAUGGCACAGAUAUAAACGAGUGGGAAGCUCCAGAGUCGAACAGAAUAGUAGCAGGGAUGGAAUGAAUGAGGAACGUACCAACGAUGACGUCUGGAGUUGUUAGCACGUCCUCGGCCGUCACGUGGUUCACCCGACCCCGAAUGACAUCCUUCCCACCGUUGUUGGAGCGGGGAGGCGCUUGGCCUUGCUGACGCCUCGGCUUUGGGCAUUUAUCCGCAAAGUGCCCGGGCUCGAAGCAGUUGAAGCACAGACGCUGCGGACCUUGAGCGUCCCUGCGGCCUUGACCAGGCUGCACAGUUGGCGUAGGAGGACGGGGCGCACGAGUCCCUUGUUGAUUCUGCUGCUGCUGCGGCUGUGGGACGCGCACCACGAAUUGAGGUCGAGGCGCGGAGCGAGGUUGCUGCUGCUGUUGUUGCUGCUGCGAGGAGGAUCCCCCUGGAUAGGGAUUGGUGUAGCGGACCCUUUGGUUAGCACCCUGUUGAUUGCGGAAAUUCGCCAAGCGGCGCUUGUGCGACUCCAGUUCCUUGUGCUUGGCUUCCAAGCGGAUGCUCUUGUCCACCAGACGUUGGAAAUCCGGAUAGUUCCCGGAGACUAGACGGACGGACAGCUCAGGGUCCAUUCCUGCCAAGAACUUCUCUUGCUUCUCCUCAUCUUCCCGCACAUCCUCCGGGGCGUAACGGGCCAGGUUGUUGAACUCAUGCAAAUACUCCGUCACGGAGCGGUUGCCUUGCUUCAACUCUCGGAAUUCUCUUUUCUUAAGGGCCACGACUCCGGCGGGCACAUGGGUUCUCCGGAAAGCGGCGGUGAAACGGGCCCAAGUAAUAGGUUGCCCCUCUGGCUGCGUAGCCUGGAAAUGGUCCCACCAUAGAGAUGCGGGCCCCUGCAGCUGGUGGGCGGCGAAGAUGACUUUCUCCUCAUCGCUGCACUGCACAGUGUCUAGCUUUUUCCCCACGGCAUGCAGCCAAUCCAACGCAUCCACGGGGUUGUUGGAGCUAGAGAAGGUAAGUGGGCGGAUGCGGAGGAACUCGGCGAGUUUAGAGUGUUGGGAAGGUGGUGGUGGAGCAUUAUGUUGUGGCGGAUUUUGGAUGUGGUGGAGGAAAGCAGCCAUCAUGUCGGCCUGCUGGGCUAGGAUUUGGGUGAGAAUGGCGUUGGUAUCUGGCGGUGGUGGAGGCGGAGGAGGAGGUGGAGGUGGGCUGCCCUGGUGGUGGUGGUUGCUGCCUUCAGGUUGGUUGCUAUCACCGGUGGCAGCACUUCUCCUGGUCAUCACCAUCUGAAAACCCCACACAGAACCAGCAAACAGAGAGAGCUGACAAUUAAAGCUAACCAUCCACGACUACCAUAAUUCUUGAAUUUAUUACUGCUAUUAAAUUGGUUCAUUAAAGUUCAAGUUGCUUAGGCAAAUAAAAUAAAGACAGGCUCCGACACAGUUAUACCACACACCGGCAUAACCAUGCCCCACACAACUCCAACAAGAAGACAAACGAGAAAGAACACACGCGCAAGCCUACUAACUGUUCGUCUACCGCUGCGACGGGCCAGGACGGAAGGUGAGCAACAGCGCAUCCUCUGUGCUACCAACGCCGGAGGCUUCUCCCUCCUGGGGAACCACGGGCGCGGGCUCGGCACGAGGGGUCUCGACGAAGCAAGUCCACGCCAGGGACUGACGAACAAGCUCGGGCCUGGAGGUGCUCUUGCGGGCGGUGAUCUUCUGGCUGCGGCAGACACGGCGACGCUUGGGGCGGCAGACCUCUCCCUGGGCGAUCUUGAGCUGAUGCAGCUGCGCCUCCACCGCGUCUAGGUCCUUCUUGAGCUGCAGGUUCUCUUGACGCAGCUCCAGGAUCUUCAUGUUGUUCUCGACCAUCCCACGGCGCACCAUCUGAUGGAAGUCGAUACGAGCCGCGUCGUACGCCUCCACCAUGCGCGCCAGGUGCAUGAUGGUAGCGUCAUCCUCCGAGCUAGCAUCCCGGAAGGUGGCGUAGUCGCGGGCUCCUCCGCGGCGAGGGUGGUAGCGGUAGGGCGAGUGCUGCAACUCGUCCGGGUAGCGCUGGUGAAGAGUGCCGAUGGCGAGGAGAGCGGCGCUCUGGCAAGCGGCGGGGAAAGAAUCUCCACCCGCGGUGACUGUCAGCGAAGUCCGCUCGGGAGAGCCAGCGAGGAUUACUGCAGUGACCUCCCAAGCAGCGUGGGGCUCUGCAUCGUCACCCUCCUGCUCCGGAAGCGGCCUGCCCUGGUAGUCCACUCCAUGUGGAUACCCCAGGACAACGCACAUGCCCCGCAGCUCCAAGACGAAACCAGUCAUGUCCAAACCACGACGGGUGACGCUGCCGGCCAUCUUCAAACAAAAACAAAAAGAAAAGCAACAUUUUAAAAAGGUCAGAUUUUGGCGAUAAAUGAAGCAGCAAGACAGAGAAAGACUAGAGGGUUUUCACAAAUAACAGAGGAUUUUUAUUUCGAAAAUACUGCUAAGGCUUGGGAUCUACGGCUCGUCCUAGGGUCAAGGGGGCUCUGAUACCAACUUGUCACGACCGGAAAUAACCCAACGGGCGUUCCUUACGUGCGUGCAUUAAUCCUUGUCCCAGGAGGCAAGGUACACCAAAAGUUGAUACAAUUCAGAGUUUAACAAGCGGAAGCGUAAAUAGUUAAUUUAUUACAUGGGCAGCAAAGGCCCAGCACACACAAAGACAAACGAGAAACAGCGGAAGACUAGGGCGACGACCACAGGCACUUGACGGCAGGCACGAGCUAGACACCAAAGCCUUCAUCCUCCAGGAACUCCUCUUCUGGGUUUGGGAAAAAUUGAGCAAGACUGAGUACAACCACCGUACUCAACAAGACACACCCACAAGUGCAGAAUAAAUGCAAGGGAGUACAAAGGAGUUAUACUAUAAAGGGUUAGGAUUGCAGUAAACAGCAUUUAAAGACAUUAGUUGCUCAGGGCUAUUUUGCAAACACGAUUCUAGUACUAUACAAUAUUAUUUAUCAAGGCCGUGAACCCACACGAACCUGCCUUAACCCAAGGCCUACGAUGAUUCAGACCGAACUGGCAACCCGACCCUGGGUCCCAGCUCGUCCCAAGCCAACCCAGGCCAACCAUUCCACAUUUUAGUUGUUAAGCAGGUUUUAAGAAUUAAAACACUAACUUGGGUACAUUGCUCGGCUUGCCCAUAACCGAGGGCGCGGCUAUUCGAAUAGAUUAUACUCUGAUCAGAUGUGUACAUAUUUACCCACAAGACACAUCUUCCUCACGUGUAACCACGUGCCACAUACCACCACGGUAUACAGACGAAAGACGUGACAUAGUUUCCAACCCAUCCUAGCCAUAGACAAGAGUACCGACCCAAUCCCACCUACGGCCGGAACUCCCGGGACAGGCAGGCAGGACUGAGCCCCUAGCAGCAGGACACCGGCCCUGUGCCAUGACAUCUCGACUACCGGGCCGCAGCUCGUGUAGCCUUCAUUUGUCCUAGAGAUGUCCAUCGACCCCCGACUUCUUCCAUCUCCAUCCGUGUACUUUUGUUUAUAACUAGACUGAGCCACAAACUAAGCCUUACCCACUAGACAUGUGGAAGUACGGUAGUGCUUUGCAACAGAGGCCCGAAGACCGGUCCUUAUAUGGCCGAGGUGCUACUAUCAAAACCAUGCACCCCGAGCCCAGCCUAAAACCAUUUUUGGGGAUUUUGAAUAGAACGAGCGGUGUGAAGCCAAUUCCACAAUAAACCAACAAUUCCAAAGUGUCCAGGUGAUAUGAAUAUUCCCAAAGUGUAGAGUUGUAAAACCGCCUAAUGUUACCUAAUUAAAAGCGAAGCAUCUACCUAAAAUCAUACUAGUGAUACCAUGAGUAGAGUGUCCACUAGUUAGGGUUUUGUUUAUUCUAGGGUGAACAAGGAAAUAAUAACAAUAACAACAAUAAUAAGGUCAUAACAAAGGUAAAUAGGCAUGGCUAAAUAAAACAGUGAUAACGCGGGAAUUUAAAUAAAGCGAUAAUGCAAUAAGUUAAAUCAACAUAAUUUUACAAACUGGGAUUCAAUAUGUUCAAAGAUGAUGUGACUUGCCUUGCUCGCUUUCCCAAACGUCGGCUUCAACUUCCACGAAGAGCGGAUCUUCCGAAGCUGCAGCGUCUACACGACCAACGGAAAAGAAACGGCUUUUACUCUACUAAACUCCAUAUAACAAGCAGAAACAAAGCACAAAAAUGGGUUCUUGGCUUCUUAAGGAAAAAUUAGAGACUUGAACGGUCCAAUUCCGAGUUCAAAUGGCCAAGUUAUGGCCAUUUGAAGUUUAUAUGCUCUUUAAAUGGAUAUUUACGAAUUUCUUCAUUUAAAUUUUAAUUUAAAAACAUAUUUAUUGCGUCAACCGGGAGAGAGGAGCGCGCGGACCGGGUCCACGGGAGUGGGGCCCACGUGGCAGCCUCUCGGUCCACGGUGGACCGGGUGCACGCGGCUUACGCCGGCCGGCGCCGUGGGUCCCACGCGUCAGCCGCACCCGAGGGCGCGGGCGGCUGACGGCCGGGCCCCACAUGGCAGCCGCGGGGCGCGCCCGAAGGCGGCCUCGCCGGCACAGCCGACGGGAGGCGACGCGCCCGCGCCCCUAUGGUCGCCGGCGGCGGCCAUAGGCACGGCGGAGCGGCGGCCGAGAGAGGGGAGGGAAGGGGGAAACGAAAUGGGCGGUCCACGGCUCACCCCGGGUCGACGACGACGACGGGAACGGCGACCGGAGCGGAAGAAGGCGGCGGCGUGGCACGGGUCGUCGGGGACGGCGGCGUUCCGGCGGUCGGCGGGCGAAACGGAGGGGUGGACGAGGUCGGCGAGGACGCGGCGGAGCCGAAGGAGGCGACGCCGAGGCGGGAGAAGGUCCGAGGCGACGACGGCGGCGGACCGGAGCUCGGCGGUGACGGCGGAGAGAGAGAGCGACGGCGCGAGCUCGAUUCCGGCGGAGAGAGAGAGCGGCGAGUGGCAGAAACGGUGGAGGGAGGCACGGGGAGCGUUUAUAUAGUGUUGGGAGUGAGAGAGGGCGGCCGGGGGAGAAGGAAACCGGCGCGGCGCUCUCGGGCUCCAUCAAUGGCGCCGGCGAGAUUUGCGAGGGCAAAUCCGCCCGUUUGAACGCGAGAGAGAGAGGGAAAAAUGGGGGGAAAGGGAGAGGGAAUCACGGGGAGUGAUUUCCCCCUCUUUAUUGCGCGCGGGGACGGCGGGAGGCGGCGGGAUUCGCGGCGGCGGCGGCGCUAGGGCACGGGCGAGGCGGCGGGAGCGGCGGGAGGUAGGGGAUGACGGGUGGGCCCCACCCGUCAGCGAGGGUGGCGGGCGGGCCCGCCCGUCAGCGGCACGCGCGCGGGGAGGAGGCCGAUUGGGCCGCGGGGGAGAGGAGAGAGAGGGAGGGAGGUGGGCCUAGCCGGCCCAAGAGGGGAAGGGGGGGGGAAAAGGACUUUUUAGGGUUUUUCUUUUUAUAAAACAUUUUUAACUUUGUUUAUUUCUUAAUAAUUAUUAUUUGUGCUCUGAAAAUUCCACUAAAAUUUAUUUACGCAUUUUAGGCUUUUAGGAAAUAUACAAAAAUCCUCCAAGCCUUAUUUGACUUUUAACUUUGCACAUUUUAAUUGUUGGAGGCUUUCACAUGGAUUUUACUUAUUCUAUGCAUAAUUUUGAGGAUGUAUUUUAGAGUCGUUUUGGGACGCGACAUGCAACUAAUAAUCAGGCUGAGUAUGAAGCAGUUCUCAAGGGUUUAUAAUUGCUAAGGGAGGUUGAAGCCGAUGCUGUUGAAAUUAUGGGAGAUUCUUUGUUGGUGAUCAGUCAAUUGGCAGGGGAAUAUGAAUGCAAAAAUGAUGUGUUGAUGGUCUACAACGAGAAGUGCCGGGAAUUGAUGGAUGGAUUUCGGUUGGUGACUCGGUUGGUGACUCUAAAGCAUGUGUCCCGGGAGCUAAUGACUUGGCUCAAGGGGCAUCCGGAUAUAAGCCGAUGGUAAAAGAUAUUGAGGUUGAAGUUGCCACAGUAGCAGCCGAUGAUUGGAGGUAUGAUGUGUAUCAAUAUUUGCAAAAUCCAUCACAAUCGGCUUCUCGGAAAUUGCGCUAUAAGGCUUUGAAGUACACCUUGUUGGAUGACGAGCUAUAUUAUCGAACGAUUGAUGGGGUGUUGCUUAAAUGUUUGAGUGCCGAUAAGGCUAAAGUUGUGAUGGGAGAGGUGCAUGAAGGUAUAUGUGGUACUCAUCAAUCGUCACAUAAGAUGAAGUGGUUGCUUCGGCGUGCAGGGUAUUUUUGGCCGACAAUAUUAGAGGAUUGCUUCCGAUAUUACAAGGGAUGUCAAGAUUGUCAGAAGUUUGGAGCAAUUCAAAGAGCACCAGCGUUGGCUCUGAAUCCUAUCAUCAAGCCGUGGCCAUUCAGAGGAUGGGGUAUGGAUAUGAUCGGUCAGAUUAAUCCUCCUUCAAGUAAGGGGCAUAGAUUUAUAUUGGUCGCGACCGAUUAUUUCACCAAGUGGGUAGAAGCUAUUCCUUUGAAAAAGGUUGAUUUAGGGGAUGCUAUACAAUUUGUCAAGGAACAUAUCAUCUACCGAUUUGGUAUCCCUUGGACCAUAACAACAGAUCAAGGUUCAAUCUUUGUGUCCGAUGAAUUUGUUCAGUUUGCCAAUGGUAUGGGUAUCAAGUUGUUGAAUUCUUCUCCAUAUUACGCACAAGCUAAUGGGCAAGCCGAGGCAUCUAAUAAGAGUUUGAUCAAAUUAAUUAAGAGAAAAAGUUCUGAUUAUCCUCGGCAAUGGCAUACAAGAUUAGCUAAAGCAUUAUGGUCUUAUCGGAUGGCUUGCCAUGGAUCGAUUCAACUUCCUCCUUAUAAGCUUGUUUAUGGACAUGAGGCAGUUUUACCAUGGGAGAUUAAAAUCGACUCAAGAAGGAUAAGCUUACAAGAUGAGUUGACAGCCGAUGAAUAUUAUAAUCUCAUGGCCGAUGAAACGGAAGACCUAGUUCAGUCUAAUUGAGAGCCCUUGUGAAAGUUACUAAGGAUAAGGAAUGAGUUACUCGUCAUUAUAACAAAAAAGUGGUACAUAAGUCCUUUUCAGAAGGAGAAUUAGUUUGGAAAUUGAUUCUACCGAUUGGAACACGUGAUAAUAAAUUCGGCAAGUGGUCACCGAAUUGGAAGGACCGUUUCAAAUCCAUAAAGUUGUAUCCAAAGGAGAUUAUAUGUUACAAGGACUUGAUGGUGAAGUUUAUGGAUGAGCGCUUAAUGGCAAGUACUUGGUGGUGAAGUUUAUGGACAAGUGCUUAAUGGAUUAAUUCAUGAUCGGCUGAGGUUUGCCAAUACAUGCAAAGCCAAUGUGGUUAACAUCGCCUUUAGAUGGCCGAUAUAUGUUAUAUCGCCCUCAGUUGUUUUUAAUUAUCAUAAUCGGUUGUGUUCUGCCGAUGUAUGAUGGUUCAUAAUUGACAUAUCACCCUUAGUUCAAAUUAUAAUUUUAUCAAUGUCUUCAACAUUGCAAAAUUAGGGGGGCAGAGAUAUAGAAAACAUGGAUUUCAAAAGCGAAAUUUAAAGGCAGGAGAUUAACAUGGAAUUCAUUACAGCCCAAAAGUUUGCAUGUUUAAAGUUAAUUUUACAAGAUAUAGCUCAUCCAGAUAUAUUUCUUUGGAUGGCUGAUAUUGCCCUUUGUCUAAUUUGAUCCACUUCAUCUAUCAUCUUGGCGUCGGCCGCAUCAGUGCCAGGGAUCGGCUUCAGAGAUUUUGUCAACUUAGUUAGGUGUUUGAUAGAAGCCUUCAACUUGGACUUUUGAUCUUCAAUGGCUUUUGGCAAAUCGGCAAGCUUUGCUUGUUCGAGAGCAAGUUGUGCAUUGCAUUGCUCUAGUUCAGCCAGGAGCUCUAUCAUCCGAUUGUUUAGCUGAUCAAUGUUUGUUUGGGUUGCACUUGGACUGGCUUCCAAUUCAUCCAGUUUAGCUGUUUCCUCAUUGAUAGAAGCUCUGUUUGCUUGGAUGGUUGCAGUUGCUUCAAGAUCUCUUCUUUCAUGUCGAUCGGCAAUUCUAUUCUAGGCUUUUUGAAGCUUAAGCCGAUGUUGCUCAAGGUAUGCUGCUAGAGUAAUGGCUUCGACUAGCUCAUCUGGAAUUUUGUCAUCUAUUUCAUGGAGCCUAUCUCUAAUAGGGACCACCUGCGAUUAUUCCAGGCGGUCUAUUUAUGUGGUCCGCCUAUGAAGCUCCAUCUUCGCAGGCGCCCAUUUUUUGCCACCUGCAAAAUUCAUUCACGGCAACACCAUUUACCGCCUAUAAAAAUCUGGCCGACUAUAUAGUCUUCUUCCUCCCCGAGCUCCUGUUCAUACUCGAUGAUUUUCUCUCUCUUAAAGGCACCAAAAUAUAGGGGGGAGGUUUUGAACUUCAAAUCUUCGAGGGAUUUUUCUACUGUAGUUAGAUCUAUGCCUUUGCACUCUAUAUACAUAAUUUUUUUUGUAAUUUAAACCCCCAUUUGACUAUGGAUCUACGUAUGCAAAAUAGUGAGGGGAAAAGCUAGCUCCCAUGAUUGUUUUUUUUUUAAUUUGCUUUGAUAUGUGUGCUAGAUUUAUGUGUGUUUCUUGAUGCUAUGGGGUUCUCUCAUCUUCUAGUGAUUUUAUAAUGUAAUAUAAUGGACUAAAUUAUAUACUUUGCUCUUAUGUAUUUGCCUAGAUCUAGAUAGGAGAGAGAAAACUUCAUGACAUGAAGAAACCAAUUAUUAUGUUUAAUUUCGUACAUUAUGAUUUUGUUGGAUUUAUGUGUAAUCUUUGAUGUCAUGUGGUCGUCCCAUCCUCUAGUUGGUUAAAUAUAAUAUGUUAACUUCAAAAUGUUACAUUUGAUUUCAUUAUAGUUAUAUUUUGUAGAAAUAAGACUAGUAUGUUCUCGAAAAUUUAUAGGUUCCAAUUCGUUGUUUACAAAUAUAUUUGUAAAAAAAAUUUAUUAAUAUAAAUUUUGCAGAGAUAUGGAAAGGCUCGAAUGGAUGUAUCAUUGGCCGAUGUUUUUAUCGCUAUAUAUGGAACAAGUGUCUAAAUUUAUUGAUAUUGCCAAGGAGCACGCUAAGGAGGGUGUUGACGGUCGUUAUCGAUCAGUUUUGACCGUCAAUAUUACCAAAAUAGGAGAGAACUAGUGAUGCUAGCAAUGCAUAUGUUUGCUAGAAUAAUAAUAUUCCACUAGUAUUAGGUAUACUAACCUUUUUGUAGAGAAUAACACUAAAGUGGAGGAGAAUUGACAUCAACAUAGACGAUAAAUCAAUCGGACGAUGUCGAGAACCAGACUUAUGUAUGAAUGGGCCAAGAACUCAGAAUUGACACGAUGAAUUGGGCCAAAAUUCACAAGUCUACAAAGUGAAGCAAUAGAGGAGGUCGCCAGCCGAAGAUGGGCUGGUUUGGGCCAGCCCAUGGUUCAGCCGAACCAGGGGGUUCGGCCGAACCCCAUCUCUACCGUUGAGGCCAGGGUUUGGCAUGGAUGUCCAAGAUUGCAUCCCAAUGACGGUUGGAGGGUACUUUGGACAAUUCCCCUUCCAAAACCGUCAUAACCACCUCUAUAUAAAGGCUUCACUCUCUUCACUUCAACACACACCUCAAGCAAUAUCUAAACUACCAGAUACUACUCUAAUAUCAUCGUCAUGACGUAGAGUAAUUGCAUAAGCAAACACUAUACCCGCACCAAAGCAUCUCCCAGAUAAUCUAGCCGUAUAUUCAGUAUAACAAGAACAUAAUGUAAAGUAGGUACUCAUAUAUUCGGAGAGUAUUUCAAUACCAUAAAUGUAUAUAGAAGAGUAUUCUAAUAAAAGUACAAAUCUUACAAAAGAGAAGAGAUAAGCUACUAGAGCCAUACCCGAACUCUUCCGAAGGCUUCGAACUUUCCAUUUUUAGCUUUAAGUAAUCGAUGCUGCGGGAAGUCGUCAUAUAGAAGAAGAAGAAGAAGAAGGAGAAGAAGAAGAAGAAGUGGUAGCACCAUCUCCGGCCAUCCCUGUAAGUUUCAAUCUUCAUCUUCUCAAAUCAUAUCGGCUAUCACAUGACUCUAACUGCCCAUAUUAUUUUCAGACUUUAGCCGAUAUGUUUAUGGAUGAAGAAGAAGAGACCACGAGCACAGCUUUGGCACCUUUAGCCGAUGAUGUAAAAGCAAUCUUGCUAGAUAUUUCAAAUUGGCUAGAAGGUUCCUUCACUGGUGGAGAAACCAUCUUUCGUCGGUCGGCCGAAUUCCACAAUAGUCCCGGUUGCAAUAAAAACCGGGGCUAAACCCUUUUUAACCGGGACUAAAAAUCAUCUUUAGUCCCGGUUCAAAUGCUGUCAGGGCCUGUCAGGCCCCCCCGGGAUCUUUAGUCCCGGUUGGUAACACCAACCAGGACUAAAGAUCGUAAUUUUAGUCCCGGUUGGUGUUAUGAACCGGGACUAAAGAUCCCGGGGAUCUUUAUCCCCGGUUGGUAACACCAACCGGGACUAAAGUCCCACCCCUAUAUAUAUGUCUUCUUCCUCCUCCAGCUGCCCGAGCAAGCUUCAAAAUUUCUUCAAAAAAGAGGGGAGGUCAUGCCAAAAUUUCUAGUGAAUUUAUUUUGGUGAUUAUAUACAAAUCGGAGGUGCCUAAAAGGUUAGCAACUUCAUCCUCCAAUGUUUUUUUUGUCAUAUUACAUUUGGUGCUAUGUUUUGCACACUUUUUUGUCUCCAAAAUUUAGUUGUAAGUUGAUGAGAGAAAAAAUUUGUAUGGGGAAGAAAGAAUAUAUAGAAAUUUAGUUUAUUUGCUAAAGAAGGUUUUAUAAAAUAGUUGAGAAGGAAAAUAUAGUGAAAGUUAAUCUUAAAUAAUAGAAAACAAACUAAAAUGAAAAUUAAAAGAAGUAAAACACAUUAAUAUUAGUUUAAAACUUUAGAAAUAGUAAAUAAGAAUUAUUUGGUGUAAUAUUUUAUAAUUUUUGUAUGAAUAAUGAUAUGUCAUUAUUGUAUGACUGUUGAAAGAGUUUGUAAUUAUUUUAUAAUUAUUGUAUGACUAUCAUUAUUGUAAGAAUAAUUAUUUGUGUAUGAUUUUUUUUAUGUCAUGUAGAUGGAUUGGUAAUGGUUGUACGCUGACCGGCGGUCCAAAGAGUUUAUUGACGGCGUGCAUUAUUUUUUGAGAGUGGCCAAAGCUAACAGGCAUAAGGGUUUUAUUUGUUGUCCAUGCAAUAAGUGUAAGAAUCAGAAGGAGUAUUCUGCAUCCAGGACUAUUUAUUUCCACUUGUUUGAGUCGGGGUUCAUGCCAAGCUAUAAUUGUUGGACAUCCCACGGAGAGCAAGGUGUUGAAAUGGAGGAAGAUGAAGUGGAAGAGAACAAUAUUCCGGACUUUGCUCAGUACGUUGGAUUUGAAGGAAAUCAAAUGGGCGAGGAGGAAAGGGAUGCUGAUGGUAACGACGCUGCGGAUGAUCUUGGUCAUAUGUUGCAGGACGCCAAGGAGGACUGCGAAAGAUAAAGGGGGCCCAUAAAUUGGACAAGAUGUUAGAGGAGCACAGAAUGUCGUUGUACCCAGGUUGCGAGCAGGGGCACAAAAAGUUGGAUACCACUCUGGAGUUCUUGCAAUGGAAGGCAAAAAAUGGUGUUAGUGACAAGACAUUUGGCGAUUUAUUGAAACUCGUCAAAAACAUUCUUCCGGAGGGAAACAAAUUGCCCGAGACAACGUACGAGGCUAAGAAGAUAGUCUGCUCUCUAGGACUGGAAGUUCAGAAUAUUCACGCAUGUCCGAAUGAUUGUAUCCUAUAUCACGGUGAGGAGUACGAGAACCUAGAAGCAUGCCCUGUUUGCAAAGCACUACGAUACAAGAUUAGACGAGACGAUCCAGCAGAAGUUGAUGGGCAGCUAACAAAGAAGAGAAUUCCUGCUAAGGUGAUGUGGUAUUUCCCUAUAAUACCACGGCUAAGGCGUUUGUUCAGGAACAAGGGGAAUGCUAGAAUGAUGAGAUGGCACGCUGAAGAGCGUCAACAGGACGGGAUGCUGAGACACCCCGCCGAUGGCUCGCAGUGGCGGAACAUCGAUAGAGAAUUUAAAGACUUUGGAAAGGACGCACGAAACAUACGGUUUGGUUUGAGUACGGAUGUGUCGCGACCGAGAAAAAUACCUUUUCCCGAACGCUAGUGUAUUAAUCCCCGUCCCAGGAAAAGCCGGGGUACACCAAACAAACAUGAUACAAAAGGCACAUCUUUAUUAUAUCGAUAAUAUAUACAUUAUUACAAAGGCGCUUCAGGCCUGAUAAACAAAAAUAAACAGCAGCGGAAAAGCGGGCCUACGGCUCCAUCUUCACAGGCGCUCAACUGGGGUAUAAGCCAGGACUCCACCUAAGACAUCUUCUCCGAAGCUUCUCUUACUGAAGGGGGGAAAAGAUUGAGCAAGAAUGAGUACAACCACAGUACUCAGUAAGCCACACCGGCAGAUGCAUGAUUAAUGCAAGGGGGUACAAGGGGUAAUAAUAUAGGGGUUAAGUUUUGCAGAAAACAGCAUUUAAAAGUCACUUAGUUGCCCAAAGCCAUUUUAUAAAGACGAUCCUAGAGUUACACAGUAUUAUUAAUCAAGGCCGUGAACCCUCACGAACCUGCCUUAACCUAAGGCCUACGAUGAUUCAGACCGAACUGGCAACCCGACCCUUGGUCCCAGCUCGUCCCAAGCCAACCCAGGCCAACCAUUCCACAUUUUAGUUGUUAAGCAAAUUUUAAGAAUUAAAACACUAACUUGGGUACAUUGCUCGGCUUGCCCAUAACCGAGGGCGCGGCUAUUCGAAUAGAUUAUACUCUGAUCAGAGGUGUACAUCUUUACCCACAAGACACAUCUUCCUCACGUGUAACCACGUGCCACAUACCACCACGGUAUACGAACGGAAGACGUGACAUAGUUCCCAACCCAUCCUAGCCAUAAACAAGAGUACCGACCCAACCCCACCUACGGCCGGAACCCUCGGGACAGGUAGGCAGGACUGAGCCCCCAGCAGCAGGACACCGGCCCUGUGCCAUGACAUCUCGACUACCGGGCCGCAGCUCGUGUAGCCUUCAUUUGUCCUAGAGAUGUCCAUCGACCCCCGACUUCGUCCAUGUCACGCCCGGAAUUUCUAUCCAAAAUUCCAAACGCUUACAUGUGUGUUAAACCCUCGUCCAGGAAUCAACCGAGGCACACAAUAACAAAUUGAUAAUAGAGUACAAAUAAAUAACUAUUUAAUAUUCGCAAAUAAUAAAUUAUUAGAGAGGUAGAUAGUUCCUCUCAAAGAAUAACAUUCUACGCAGCGGAAAUAUAAAACUAUAACAAACUACGGAACAGCUAUGGCGACUCCACUCCACAGGCAUCUUAACCAGAACAAGCUCAAUCCUUCAGAUCAUCACCUUCGCUGAAAUACUCCUCUUCUGAUGAUUGAAUAUUGCAAGAAUGAGCAUAUGACAUACUCAACAAGCCACACAGCAAAUAUGCAUGUGCACAGGAUAACAAAGGAUGGCAUAAUAGGGUUUCAUUUGCAAAAACAGCAUUUAGCAAACAUUUGAGAAUUUAAUAAAACAGUUAAGUAAUAAACAAUAUUAAUCCAACGCUAUACAACAUACCCUGUUGAACAGGCCCAACCAUUCUGAACAACCAUCCCGGCUACACAGUUCUAUCUCCAAACCAGGAAUAUACCAUUCCAAACCAGGAGCUAAUCAAAUUAUUACCAAUUAAAGCAUCAUUCACUAUGGUGAGAAGGGUGAGACUAAUCACGAAAAACAUUGCUCAACUCACCCAUAACCGCGGGUACGGCUAUUCGAAUAGAUUAAACUCUGAUCAGAGGUGUACCACUGUACCCACAAGACACAACCCCACAUCAUGUCACCAUGUGCCUCAAUACCACCACGGUACCUCGGAAAGGAGUUGUGACAAUACCCCUUGCACAACAUAAUCCAUUACAGCGCACCUUUCCUGGAUCAUAAUCACCCCCUUAUAAACAAGGCAUGGAAUCCCCAGCGACCCCCGUGGACUUCUCGCCACUUCAAAGUCUGGCGUACUAUAAUGAAUCAUGCUAUACAAAAGAUAAAGCCGUUGCCCACGCUGGCUUGUGGUUGGCAUGAUAAAUGUUUCACAACAGUAGCUCGCGAACCGGUCCUUAAUUAUCAUGAGCACAGCCAUCAAAACCAUAUGCUCACAACCCACCUUAGCCAGGUUUUAAUUAUCAAUCAAUUAAUUAACAUCACACGAUUAACCAUCGUGAGCUACCAUUGAAUAUAACCAUCAUUAUUAAUAAUAUAAUAUAUUAUAAUCUAUAUUUAACCCCUUUAGUUAGCUAAUGUUUCUAAGCAUGGCUAAGCAAACAUAUAUAUAGCAUUUAGCUGAACCAAUCCAAUAUAUAAGGUUCAUGCUAAUCAAAUUAUAACCCAUAGGAAAAUAAGAUCAUCUUCGGCCAAUAAUUAAUUAGGAAAGGUUCACCACCCGAUGACAUUCGAAAACAAUGCAUAGUUGAAAUAAAAUAAUAGCUUUAAAUGGGUUCAACAUGCUCAAAGGGUUGUUUGGGAUCUGUGUGACUUGCCUUGGGCUUCCGCAAACGCUUCGGAACCUUCCUCAACGGAAACACUCUCCUCCGGAACGUCGGAAACUAAAGCAAUUAAACAAAAAUCAACAAAACAGUACAAAAACAAGCUUAAACAGUACAUGUGGAUAUUUU
rnacentral:lncRNA from 1 species